rnacentral:lncRNA from 1 species
UUCUGCUUCUUUAGAUUGCGCAAGGUCUUGUUGAUUUCAGGGUCAAACUCAAAGAGAGGAUUCCCGUGAGAUCUUGUGUUCAUAUGCAACCUACAGAAACACAACUUAUAAAAGUUAGAAAAGAAAAAUAAAAAAAAAAAACUUGCAGUACUAUAAAGUCCUAUUGGAAAUAUUAAAGCAAAAUCUAAACAGUCCCCGGCAAC